GCUAGUAAUGGCAGGUCAGCAUACUGCCGUGAAUACGUUCCCGGGCCUUGUACACACCGCCCGUCACACCAUGAGAGUUAGGAAUACCCGAAGCCUGUGAGCUAACUUUUAGAGGCAGCAGUCGAAGGUAGAACUAAUGAUUGGGGUGAAGUCGUAACAAGGUAAC
rnacentral:rRNA from 1 species